rnacentral:tRNA from 1 species
AAUAGGAUAAUAGUUUAAAAAAAACAUUUAAUUUGCAAUUAAAAAAUAUAUAUAUAUAAUUAUUUAUCUUA